rnacentral:rRNA from 1 species
GAAUUUUCCGCAAUGGGCGAAAGCCUGACGGAGCGACGCCGCGUGGUUGAUGAAGUCCUUCGGGAUGUAAAGACCUUUUAUAGGGGAGGAAGUUUAUUGACGUUACCCUAUGAAUAAGAGGUUGCUAAACUCGUGCCAGCAGCAGCGGUAAUACGAGUGCCUCGAGCGUUAUCCGGAAUCACUGGGCGUAAAGGGUGUGUAGGCGGUCACGUUAGUCUUCUGUGAAAGACUUCGGCUUAACCGGAGUAACGCGGGGGAAACGGCGUGACUUGAGGAUGUAAGGGGCGUGCGGAACUCUAGGUGUAGGGGUGAAAUCCGUUGAUAUCUAGGGGAACACCAAAAGCGAAGGCAGCACGCUGGUACAUUCCUGACGCUGAAACACGAAAGCGUAGGGAGUGAAUGGGAUUAGAUACCCCAGUAGUC